rnacentral:misc_RNA from 1 species
GGGCUUUUAUGAAUACUCUUCAUAUUCCACUUCGCGACAGGAUAUCUGGAAGCGCUUCUAGUGAUGUUUUGGAGAACAGGAAGAUUGAUGCUGCUCGAUUCUCUCCCUUUUGGAAUGAGAUUAUAAAGAAUCUUAGGGAAGAAGAUUAUAUUACUUAUCAAGAAAUGGAGUUGCUUUUGAUGCCAAAAAAUUCUGGAAAUCUGCCCUUGGUACAGUGGC